CGCCCAUGGAGUGAGCCCUGUCUCUGGUGUAGGGAGAUCACCUCAGGCGUACAGUCUUGUCAUGUAGCAUGUAGCCAGACCUGAUCUCCCUGCAGCGGCUGCAGUUCUACAGCAUGUGGAUGG
rnacentral:precursor_RNA from 16 species